rnacentral:rRNA from 1 species
UUAGGUGAACCUGCGGAGGGAUCAUUACUGAGUUUACGCUCUACAACCCUUUGUGAACAUACCUAUAACUGUUGCUUCGGCGGGUAGGGUCUCCGUGACCCUCCCGGCCUCCCGCCCCCGGGCGGGUCGGCGCCCGCCGGAGGAUAACCAAACUCUGAUUUAACGACGUUUCUUCUGAGUGGUACAAGCAAAUAAUCAAAACUUUUAACAACGGAUCUCUUGGUUCUGGCAUCGAUGAAGAACGCAGCGAAAUGCGAUAAGUAAUGUGAAUUGCAGAAUUCAGUGAAUCAUCGAAUCUUUGAACGCACAUUGCGCCCGCCAGCAUUCUGGCGGGCAUGCCUGUUCGAGCGUCAUUUCAACCCUCAAGCUCUGCUUGGUGUUGGGGCCCUACAGCUGAUGUAGGCCCUCAAAGGUAGUGGCGGACCCUCCCGGAGCCUCCUUUGCGUAGUAACUUUACGUCUCGCACUGGGAUCCGGAGGGACUCUUGCCGUAAAACCCCCAAUUUUCCAAAGGUUGACCUCGGAUC